rnacentral:sRNA from 1 species
GCUGGGCAUGGUGGUGCAUGCCUGUAAUCCCAGCGGCUGGGGAGGCUGAGGCAGGAGGAUCGCAAAUUCAAAGCCAGCCUUGGCAACAGAGAGGCACUAGGCAACUCAGUGAGACCCUGUCUCUA